AUUUUCGAUCUAAAAAAGUACAUGAUAAUUGUAAAAAAUCGAAAUUUCGAUUUUUCUCAAAAACUAUAAUUUUUUAAAUUUUAAUAAUUAUGUGCAAGGUGCCCCUUUGCGAGGAGUACUUGACAGUUUUUAAAUGAAAGCUCUAUCUUUAAUAACAAAAAAGUUAUGCAAAAUUUUCGAUCUAAAAAAGUACAUGAUAAUUGUAAAAAAUCGAAAUUUCGAUUUUUCUCAAAAACUAUAAUUUUUUAAAUUUUAAUAAUUAUGUGCAAGGUGCCUCUUUGCGAGGAGUACUUGGCAGUUUUUAAAUGAAAGCUCUAUCUUUAAUAACAAAAAAGUUAUGCAAAAUUUUCGAUCUAAAAAAGUACAUGUUAAUUGUAAAAAACCGAAAUUUCGAUUUUUUUCAAAAACUACAAUUUUUUUAGUUUUUGAUUAAUACGUACAAGGUGCCCCUUUGCGAGGAGUACUUGACAGUUUUUAAAUGAAAGCUCUAUCUUUAAUAACAAAAAAGUUAUGCAAAAUUUUCGAUCUAAAAAAGUACAUGAUAAUUGUAAAAAAUCGAAAUUUCGAUUUUUCUCAAAAACUAUAAUUUUUUAAAUUUUAAUAAUUAUGUGCAAGGUGCCCCUUUGCGAGGAGUACUUGGCAGUUUUUAAAUGAAAGCUCUAUCUUUAAUAACAAAAAAGUUAUGCAAAAUUUUCGAUCUAAAAAAGUACAUGUUAAUUGUAAAAAACCGAAAUUUCGAUUUUUUUCAAAAACUACAAUUUUUUUAGUUUUUGAUUAUUACGUACAAGGUGCCCCUUUGCGAGGAGUACUUGACAGUUUUUAAAUGAACGCUCUAUCUUUAAUAACAAAAAAGUUAUGCAAAAUUUUCGAUCUAAAAAAGUACAUGAUAAUUGUAAAAAAUCGAAAUUUCGAUUUUUCUCAAAAACUAUAAUUUUUUAAAUUUUAAUAAUUAUGUGCAAGGUGCCCCUUUGCGAGGAGUACUUGGCAGUUUUUAAAUGAAAGCUCUAUCUUUAAUAACAAAAAAGUUAUGCAAAAUUUUCGAUCUAAAAAAGUACAUGUUAAUUGUAAAAAACCGAAAUUUCGAUUUUUUUCAAAAACUACAAUUUUUUUAGUUUUUGAUUAUUACGUACAAGGUGCCCCUUUGCGAGGAGUACUUGACAGUUUUUAAAUGAACGCUCUAUCUUUAAUAACAAAAAAGUUAUGCAAAAUUUUCGAUCUAAAAAAGUACAUGUUAAUUGUAAAAAACCGAAAUUUCGAUUUUUUUCAAAAACUACAAUUUUUUUAGUUUUUGAUUAUUACGUACAAGGUGCCCCUUUGCGAGGAGUACUUGACAGUUUUUAAAUGAACGCUCUAUCUUUAAUAACAAAAAAGUUAUGCAAAAUUUUCGAUCUAAAAAAGUACAUGUUAAUUGUAAAAAACCGAAAUUUCGAUUUUUUUCAAAAACUACAAUUUUUUUAGUUUUUGAUUAUUACGUACAAGGUGCCCCUUUGCGAGGAGUACUUGACAGUUUUUAAAUGAACGCUCUAUCUUUAAUAACAAAAAAGUUAUGCAAAAUUUUCGAUCUAAAAAAGUACAUGUUAAUUGUA
rnacentral:lncRNA from 1 species